rnacentral:lncRNA from 1 species
UGAAAAUAAUUGUUUAAUAGAAUAAUUUCUUCGUUCAAUUUUAAUAGGUGAGUUAUUGCGCCAUCUGUGGUUCCACAGGAGAUUGUCUGGUAUGCGAAAAUAGUUCAUGUUCCAGGUAAAACUUUAUUAUUUUCUAAAAACCUUUUCCUUCAAGAACAAAAAUUGAAUUAUUGUUAAAUAAUUAAUAGAGUGUUUUGCUCGUAUUGCGUGGAGCUGCUGGUUGGCGAUGGAUCGAUGUCCGUCAUCAGGCAAAAGACGCCGUGGUUUUGCUUCCUCUGCGCCAGUUUCACCAUCACAAUAAUCCCACGGCCUCCUUCAGCCUCGCUCCGACUGGGCCUUAAAACUGAAAUAAAAGCUUCCUCCACCAAAAUUUAUACACAUCGACAUCUGUCCAAGAAAGGGCAACCUUCUCUUUGCGUCGUCAUACUCCACGACAAUCUCGGAGCCGUCAACUACGCCCUUAAUUCACUGCGACUUGAAUUGGAGUAUGGAGAAGCUUUUUUCGAUUUUUUCCACGUCAAGAAUUGCAUCUAACGCAACAACGAGGAAACGCCACUCUUGUGGGCUGUGGAAAAUGUCGCCAGCUACCACAUAACCAUUUCCAGAUUUCUCCAGAUGGAACCGAUAUUCAACAUGAAGGAUGCCCAAGGUUCCACCAAACAUCGUCUGGUGUCGGAACAGAAUUUCAAUCCGCAAUUGGACGAGCAAUUCAUCAACAACGACCAUUCGGUUCGUCCAUUUCCAGUCUUCCGCCCAGCCGAGAGCCUUUUUUCACCAAAUACUCUUGGAUUCUUGAAGAUAUCGUGGCCAUAAACCAACCCCUGCCAGCCAACUGGCAGGAGAAACACGACCAGAUGCUGUUUCAGCGCGAUAUACUCGAAGUAAGACGAAAACAAUUAAAGCUCCAGCCUUUUUGGAGCAUUACUCGGUCGUCCAGCUGACUCAUAAAACGGCCAAGAAGAAGAGGAAAUUGAGCAGUGAUCUCCGCCCGUGUUGGAAACUUUGCGAAGCCGUCGGCAGUGCUGACGAGGACAGCGACGGAAUUAGUGACGAAACGGGCGACUUUUCGCUUUUCUGACGGAUCAAGCCACCGAUCGUGUUUCCCCGUGCCGUUUCCGGAGUACGUGUUUCAUGUGGAAGAAGCUGAAGUACAUCAAGAACUAAUGAAUUGUAGUUUGCCCGUGUCUCUGUUGAUUAACAUUUUCAACUGCCGUUGAAGAUUUGAAGUUGGUCCGUGUCGUUGGUCCUAAAUAAACCGCGGAUGUACAUUAUACAGCCUAAAUGAUUCAUUCGACGACGAUAUUAUAUAAUGGUCUGAUGGACUAUAUAUGAGCUAAAUAGAUGGCAGAUGGCUGCAUGAUGUUGUCAGUCGACAAAGUCGUGCUUUCAAAAUAGUUUCUUUUUCUCAAUUAUUAUAGCUAGUUAUAUUUUUUACGAAAUUUUGAUCGUGUUAUUGCCGCAUUGUAACUGAGGGUGUAGUUUUAUUUAUUCCUUUGUCCAUGUAUUAUAAUAAGACAAGGGA